UACGGGGGAUGCGAGCGUUAUCCGGAAUGAUUGGGCGUAAAGGGUCCGCAGGCGGCCCGGUCAGUCCGCUGUCAAAGCCUGGGGCUCAACCCUGGAGCGGCGGCGGAGACCACCGGGCUUGAGUCCGGUAGGGGCAGAGGGAAUUCCCGGUGGAGCGGUGAAAUGCGUAGAGAUCGGGAAGAACGCCAAGGGCGAAGGCACUCGGCUAGGCCUGAUUCCGCGACUGACACUCAGGGACGAGAGCCAGGGGAGCGAAUGGG
rnacentral:rRNA from 1 species